rnacentral:rRNA from 1 species
AUUGAACGCUGGCGGCAGGCUUAACACAUGCAAGUCGAGCGAGCGGCGGACGGGUGAGUAAUGUCUGGGAAACUGCCUGAUGGAGGGGGAUAACUACUGGAAACGGUAGCUAAUACCGCAUACCAUCAGAUGUGCCCAGAUGGGAUUAGCUAGUAGGGGGGGUAAUGGUGCACCUAGGCGACGAUCCCUGGCUGGUCUGAGAGGAGGACCAGCGACACUGGACACGUGACGAGGGCCAGACGCCGACGGGAGGCAGCAGAGGGGGAUAUUGGAGAUAGGGCGCAAGCCUGAAGCAGCCGUGCCGCGGAGGUGAAGAGGGCCAUCAGGUUGUAAAGCACUUAAAGCGAGGAGGCGGUACUCGCAGAAGAAGCACCGGCUAACUCCGUGCCAGCAGCCGCGGUAAUAC